rnacentral:rRNA from 1 species
GAUGAACGCUAGCUACAGGCUUAACACAUGCAAGUCGAGGGGAAACGACAUCGAAAGCUUGCUUUUGGUGGGCGUCGACCGGCGCACGGGUGAGUAACGCGUAUCCAACCUGCCCACCACUUGGGGAUAACCUUGCGAAAGUAAGACUAAUACCCAAUGAUAUCCCACGAAGGCAUCCGAAUGGGAUUAAAGAUUUAUCGGUGAUGGAUGGGGAUGCGUCUGAUUAGCUUGUUGGCGGGUAACGGCCCACCAAGGCUACGAUCAGUAGGGGUUCUGAGAGGAAGGUCCCCCACAUUGGAACUGAGACACGGUCCAAACUCCUACGGGAGGCAGCAGUGGGGAAUCUUCCGCAAUGGACGAAAGUCUGACGGAGCAACGCCGCGUGAACGAUGACGGCCUU